CUUCGCAUGCUGACAUCUGAAUGGUGCCACAUCGCAGGCAGUACCUGUGGAUGCAAGUUUAAAGUCCAAGGCCUUUCAAAGUUUUGAGAAUUUUAAAACGCAGAUUAAGUGAGGGCACAUUAAGCAAAGGUUUUUCACUCAGCCUUGCUACAUUGACGAAUAAACCUGUACCGGUAACUGCGGGUCAAGUAGCAUCAGCGAGGAGAGAAACGGCGUCAACCUUCCUGGGAACUAUCACAUCAGGUCACUUCUGUGUUCCACAAUCCUAUUCACUGAUUGAGACCUGCUGACGAGGAAGUUAAGUUUCUAGUUGCAGAGGGAGGUACAGAGGUUCAGGUCUUGAAGGCUGAUGAUGAGUUUGGAUUAGAUGAUUAUGUUGAAUACCAAGAUAUAGUUGAUGAAGAAUUCCUGAUGUCCAGAUGCCCCAGGGCAGAUGGUAGGCAAUAUCGAGGUAAUUUCUGAGGCAGGAAUUCAUUUGUGCCAUAACCAACCUCUCAAAGCACUUCCUUAUGGUUGGUGUAAGGACAAACAGACGUUCGUCAUUGUGGCUGGUCACCACACUCUUCUAGGCACUGAUACAAUAUCUGCCUUUUUGAAGCAGAUGAGAACGUCAAACUGCAGAAACGAGUGGUUGAAUAUGUCAAUAAAUAUUCCAGCCAGAUCUUUAAUAUUUGACCAUGUAUGCCUCUGGACCAGACAGUUUUCGAGGAUUUGCCCUCUUGAAGGAUACACUGAUGUCAGCUUCAGAAAGAGAGAGAUAACAUGAUUAUCGGGAGAUUCGGGAGGUUGUGUGCGUGUGUCAUAGUUCUCUCCAUCAAAGCAUGCAUAAAAGACAUUGAGCACGUCCAGUAAUGAUGGACCAUAGCCAUUUAUGCUAAUUUUGCCUCUAGGAAGUAAUAUUGCAUAAGCCCCAUUGAGCAUCAAGCUGUGAUUCCAAGCUAGUCUGAAAUUGCCUCUUUGCACUCAUAUUGACCUUCCAGAUUACGAAUCUCAAAGUACAUCUAGGGCUUCUGGUUGUGGAAGAAUCUGAAAAUCCUUAAGACCAUAAAACAUAGGAGCAGAAUUAGGCUAUUUGGCGGAUUGGGUCUGCUCCACCAUUUCAUCAUGGCUGAUCCAUUUCCUCUCAGCCCCAUUCUCUUGCCUUCUCCCUAUAAUUUUUUAUGCCUUGACUAAGACUCUAUCAAGCUCUGCCUUAAAUAUAUCCAAUGACCUGGACUCCACAGCCACCUGUAGCAACAAAUUCCGCAGAUUCAUAGUCAUCGGGCUAAAGAUAUUCCUCCUCAUCUCCAUUCUAAAUGGACGUCCUUCUAUUCUGAGGCUGUGACCUCUAGUCCUAGACACUCCCACCAUAGGAAACGCCCCCUCCACAUCCACUCUAUCUAGGCAUUCGAUAUGUUUCAGUGAGACUCCCCCUCAUUCUUCUCAAUUCUAGCGAGUAAAGGCCCAGAGCCACCAAUCGCUCCUGAUGUGAUAACCCUUUCAUUCCUGGAAUCAUUCUUGUGAACCUCCUCCGAACACCCUCCACUGUCAGCACAUCCUUUCUUAAAUAAGGGGCUUAAAACUGCUCGCAAUACUCCAAAUGAGGCCUCAUCAGUGCCUUAUAAAGCCUCAGCAUUACAUCCUUGCUUUUACAUUCUAGUCCUUUCAAAAUGAAUGCUAACAUUACAAUAGCCUUCCUCACCACUGACUCAACAUGCAAGUUAAUCUUAUUCCUUUGCACCUCUGAUUUUUGAAUUUUCUCCCUAUUUAGAAAAUAGUCCACCCCUUUAUUUCUUCUGCCAAAGUACAUUACCAUGUACUUCCCUACAUUAAAUUCCAUCUGCCACUUCUUUGCCUAUUCCCCCAAUCUGUCCUUUUGCAGACACCCUGCUCCUUCAACACUACCUGCCACCCCAUGUAUCUCUGUCCUUUCAAUACAACGUGUGUCCUUGAAUGUUAAGCUCCCAAUUAUGAUCUUACAGCCUUGACUCAGUGAUGCCCACAACAUCAUAGAGGAGGAGAAGAUGGCGGCGCAACGGCAGCGCGCACGGCCUCUCCGGUGAUGAACAUCUGUUAUCUGUCAAGUAAGGGACUGUGCACAAUUCUGAUUUGAUGGAGACAGACGUGAGAGUACGGAGGAACAUCUGGAGAAACUUCUGAAAUGCCCGCUUCGCUGCUGCUGCUACUGUGUGGUCCGGAAUCUCUGGAGCAGAAGGCCCCGAAAUCCUCGGCUUUGCUUGUUUCAGCGGCCGGGGCGAGGUCGAAGGCUCGAAGUUUUUGGACAGAUGGACUCAGUGUCGGCUGUGGUCGGCUGCUUCCAAGGCAUCGGCAAGUUGACGGUGCCUGGAGGUUUAUGGCAGGGAGUUUCUCCCUUUUGCCGCCUGCUAUCAGGGACUCGGGAGUCGAUCGACUCGGGGACUUUUGAGACUUUUUUUACCGUGCCCAUGGUUUGUUCUUCAUCAAGUUAUGGUAUUGCUUUGCACUGCUGUAACUAUAUGUUAUAAUUAUGUGGUUCUGUCAGUGUUAGUCUUUGGUUUGUCCUGUUUUCUGUGAUAUCACUCCAGAGAAACAUUGUAUCAUUUCUUAAUGCAUGCAUGCAUUUCUAAAUGACAAUAAAAGAGGACUGAGUGUUCUCAUAAUCUAAUCUAACCUAAUCAUACCUGUCAAUCUCUAACUGCACUACAAGAUCAUCUACCUUAUUCCAUAUACUGCAUAGAUUCAAUCAUAAUACCUUCAGUCCUGUUUUCAUCACCCUUUUUGAUUUUGGCUUGCUGUUAAACCUUAACCCAUCCCACUGACUGCAAUUUUGCCCCAUCAUCUGCCUAUCCUUCCUCACAUCUCAAUACACACUGCAUCUAGUUGUAUACCAACUGCUCCAUCCUCAGCCCUGUCUACUGUUGUUGCAAAGCAAGUAUGUAUUACAACAAGCAGUGAAAGGGGUAUUCAGUUCAAGAAAUGUAUGUCCAGAGGUUAGACAGCUGGGUAUGCAACCCUGAGGGUGGUCUCGACAGCUAAAGAGAUAAAAUGCAGAGGAUUGCAUUGUCAAAGAGACUAAAUGUUGUAGAGAAAGUAAGGAGGGGUAAUGCACCAUGGUCUUACUGAUAAGAGAAUGACAUUCAUAAUUCUGGCAAAACCUAUUAUAGUGCCAUGGAAACCAGAAUGAAUUUGGGAGAGAUAAGUAUGGAGCUGAAAAGCAAGUGCUAUCCAAGGCAUUGGAAAAGAAAAGUUAGCUGAAAAUAUGACUGGAGCUGUAAAUGAUGGCUAGCUGGCAGAUAAGUUUAGUAUAGUGAAAGGUAAUGAUUACCAAAGGAACAUGAUUUUUCAACAUUUAUAUUUGUAACAAAAAUAUAAUUUGGAGUAUAAAUUACUGCAUAAAUUCUAGAUUAGGUAAUAUUAUAAUGUCUAAAAAUAUUAACAUUAGGAAUCCUCACAAAUAUCAUAUUACCAAGUUUUUCCCAGUAAUUAAAAGUGUGAACCUGACUGUACAUACUUACUUAGAAAGGUAAAUGAUUUAUAUUGCAUUUCUUUGCUUUAAAUAGGUAUAAUUUAUCAACUAUAAAUUGCUGUGUAUUUGAUAUAUCUAUGCACCUAAAAGCCAUAUUCGUCUUACGUAAACAUAGGGUUUGAAAUAAAAUAGUUUCUCCAUUAUAAGGAAACAUAUUGCUCCCUUUAAUUAUUUUCUUAAGAACAUUGCAACAUCUGAAAAUAGUCAUGAAUCUGCAGUGCACAAUGCUUCUCUUUCGAUUAUAGCUCAGCUAGGGCAGUCUUUCCACUUCCCCUUUCAAGACAGAACCAAACUAUUUUUUGAUUAGGAAGGUCAUCAGGGAUGCGUGGUAUUCCUGCUGCCUUGAAGGAGCCCACCAAUUUGUACCCAAGGCUAGGAGGAGGACGAUCUUGCUUAACUGGAAGGAGAUUGCCCCCCACUACACAUGCUCAAUGGUUAUGCGAUCUUAUGUCGUGCUUAAAUGUAGAGAAGAUUUGUUGUUCGAUUUCUGAUUCUAGUCAAGAUUUUCAAACGCUGUGGGGACCCUUUUUGAACUAUUUUGAAAAUCUUUGAAUUGUUAUUGUUAUUAAAAUAUAGAUCUGGGCUAUUAUUAUAAAACACUGUAUGGUAAAGUACACUUUUUUUUCUUUUGUGUUUUUCUACCAACCAGCUUUGUCUUGGUAGUGGGUGUAGAUUUUUUUUACAAUAUAAUUAAGAAUAUUAUUGUAUUUCAUAAUUCAAUUUAUUUUAUCUGAUUGAUUAUGAAUAUGGGAUACUGUGAUUGUAUCAGUGUGAUUUAUAUAUAGUGCAUUUUGUGCUACCUUAUUUUGAUUUAUAAUAAGUAUCCUUAUGA